rnacentral:rRNA from 1 species
GACGUAGGGUGCGAGCGUUAAUCGGAAUUACUGGGCGUAAAGCGUGCGUAGGCGGUUUUGUAAGCCGGAUGUGAAAUCCCCGGGCUUAACCUGGGAAUGGCAUUCGGGACUGCAAGGCUGGAGUGCGGCAGAGGAGACUGGAAUUCCUGGUGUAGCAGUGAAAUGCGCAGAUAUCAGGAGGAACACCGGUGGCGAAGGCGGGUCUCUGGGCCGAUACUGACGCUGAGGAGCGAAAGCGUGGGGAGCAAACAGG